rnacentral:rRNA from 1 species
GGGAAAGGAAUUUUAGUUCAGCCUAAAGUUAUUUUCAUAUAAACUAAAUUCUCUUUAGAGUAAUUCAAUUAAGGAACAGCCUUAUUGAACCAGGACACAACCUUAACCUACGGGUAAAUUACACUAAGAUAUUCAAGUAGACUUAAAAGCAGCCACCUUUAUUAAAGCGUCAAAGCUAAAAUAAUGUCUUUCCUCAAUCCCGCACCCCACCGUAAUCCCUACAACAGUACCAAGCACCUCUAUAAUGUAUAGAGCCACUCAUGUUAAAACUAGUACCAAGAAGAAAACUUCUCUUUAAUGCAAACAUAAGCCAGCUUGAAUCUAAUCACUGGCACUUAACAGCCCAAAUUCGAGUUAAACAUUUACACGAAAAUUUAACUUUAUUAACUGUUAACCUAACACCAGAGCAUUACAAGAAAGAUUAAAAGAAAAAGAAGGAACUCGGCAAAUAUUUUUCCCGCCUGUUUACCAAAAACAUCGCCUCUUGUAAACUCAUAAGAGGUCCAGCCUGCCCAGUGAUUUAAUUUAACGGCCGCGGUAUUCUAACCGUGCAAAGGUAGCGUAAUAACUUGUCUUCUAAAUAAAGACUAGUAUGAAAGGCAUCACGAGGAAGAACCUGUCUCCUUUUUCUAAUCAGCAAAACUAAUCUCCCCGUGAAGAAGCGGGGAUAAACUCAUAAGACGAGAAGACCCUGUGGAGCUUAAGACAUACCAAUUAAUGUUUCCCAUCCAAACUUCAGAGUAACCCCACUCACAUAAAAUUGGAAGUCUUCGGUUGGGGCGACCGCGGAGAAAAAUCCAUCCUCCGCGAUGAAAAGAAUUACUCAUUAACCACAACCCACAACUUUACGUAUCAAUAAAUUGCCAUUAAUUGACCCAGUAUUCUGAUCAACGAACCAAGUUACCCCAGGGAUAACAGCGCAAUCCACUUUAAGAGCUCAUAUCGACAAGUGGGCUUACGACCUCGAUGUUGGAUCAGGGUAUCCCAGUGGUGCAGCCGCUACUAAAGGUUCGUUUGUUCAACGAUUAAAACCCU